GGAGAAGUAGGCUUCCUGCUCAGCAGGGAUCAUGACCUGAGCUGAAGGCAGAUGCCCAAAGACUGAGCCACCCAGGCGCCCUGGAAAAGAGAUUUUCUAAUGAGGAAGCAUUUUGUUCUAGGACUGAUGGUAGCCACCUUCUAACCACAAGAAGAGUCAGUCUGAAGAAAACAGAGGAUGGCAGAGUUCAAAGAAGAGCAGAGAAAUAGAUCUCCAGCUCCAAUGGUGUACAUUGAGGAAUCUGUCCUCUCCGACAGACAAGAUUCCCCAGCACACAUCCAACAGUGAUGCUCCCUGCCAAGGAAACAAUCUGCUUGAUUCUCAUCCAGGAGCACUGAGAGGAGGGGGGCCGCCUUUAUGUCCUCUCCUAUCUUCGUCAAGCCAUAUGCAACUGGCAGCCACCACACUUCUCUCUGUGGGAAGAGGAUAAUCAGAGCUGGAUUCCUGAAUGAAAGGAGGAACAUGCAGAGUCGCCUGCCUCCCGUCCAAUGGUAGUGGAAUCCUUGUGGCCUGACUCAGUCCGGAGCUCGUCUGAAGUCCGUGGCUUUUAGGGACCGGGAUGGGCUCUCAGAUUCAGAGUUAGAGGGACCUGGGUUCAAGUCUCGCCUUUUGGG
rnacentral:lncRNA from 1 species